rnacentral:rRNA from 1 species
GUAGUUAGCCGGGGCUUCCUCCUCAAGUACCGUCACUUCCUUCGUCCUUGAGGACAAAAGUUUACAAUCCGAAAACCUUCUUCCUUCACGCGGCGUUGCUGGGUCAGGCUUUCGCCCAUUGCCCAAUAUUCCCCACUGCUGCCUCCCGUAGGAGUCUGGACCGUCUCUCAGUUCCAGUGUGGCCGAUCACCCUCUCAGGUCGGCUACCCAUCGUUGCCUUGGUGGGCCUUUACCUCACCAACUAGCUAAUGGGACGCGAACUCACCCCAAACUGGAUUGCUCCUUUUACCUCAACCCCAUGCGAGGUCGUGGUCUUAUGCGGUAUUAGCACCUGUUUCCAAGUGUUAUCCCCCUGUCUGGGACAGAUUGUUCACGCGUUCCUCACCCGUCCGCCGCUAACAUCCUAGGCCGAAACCAAAGAUGUCCGCUCGACUUGCAUGUGUUAGGCACGCCGCCAGCGUUCGUCCUGAGCACGANACAACUACUGA